rnacentral:lncRNA from 1 species
CACGGUUUCAUGUAUGGCAAUUCUGAACAAAUGGUUUUAAAUUUAUUAAGUCAACUUCAAAUAAAAAAUUCAGCUCAGAUGGCUCUAAUUUCUAUGAAAAUACCAUGAUUUAGAGAACGAAAUCAAUCAAAGUUGGAAUAAUGUUUCCAUACUGUCAGACACAAUCUUUUAACUCUUUCUUAGGAGCACAAAAGUGACUGUUCUUACAAGCACAGAUAAGUUGGAAUAGCUUAUGGUGUUAAAAUGUGUAGCUUCGUGUAGGAUUAUUGACAAAAGCAAAAGAAAAUCUAUGUAGAAAACUUACAGUAGUAUCCAUUAGCCAAAGGUGCUGAUACAUUCCAUUCCCCUUUUGUGAUGCUUAUGAAGCUUUUUUUCUAUGACGACUACUUUAUAUGCCCAUUCGGUUUCUCGUGUUGCUAUCUCAGGGAUUAGUUUGUAAUUCAAUUCCAUGUUCACCAUUGGAAAAUGGAAAUAAGAGAAAUUAUAAAAUAUUUGUGGAGUAGAAGGAACAUAAAUUGAUUUUUGGGGAAAACAUUUAUGCUUAUAAUACAUUAAAUUCGGCAAAAAAAAAAUAUUGGAGGAAAAAAAU